CGCUUCCUCGGCCUCUUGAAUUACGCCUGCGCUGAGGCUUUCCCAGUCGGUCUCCUAGGACGCCAGACUGAGGCCGCGCCUGCGCAAUGGUGCCGAUGAAGUGAAGAGGAGCUUUGUCUGUAUUCUCACAAGUAUCUCCAGAGCCUAGAAUAGGACUUAGAAUAAGACCUAGCACAGGGCACGUUUUCAGUAAGUAUUUGUGAAAGAACCAAUGAUCUAUCCUCUUUCCUGUCCAAAUCUCUGCUCUGCUGCGCUUGGAUGUGCAAUAGACAUUUCCAGAUUAUUAUGUCCAAAACUGAAGGGUUGUUUCCCCCCCGCCCCUGCCCACACACACUAUAUUACUCACUAUAUUACUGUCUAUCCCUGCCCCACCUCCCCCAUGUAAAAAAAAAAAAAAAA